rnacentral:lncRNA from 1 species
ACUUCCUCUCAUGGCUCCAGUCCCCUCAGGGUUCUUUCCUCCAACUUCCACUUCUCUUCCUUCGUUUGAGUCGGAGUUGAGGCCCGAGGCCACUUGGGAUAGUCCUUCUACCUUGCUCUCCUUUGAGCUUCAUGUCCCAAAGUGGGGUGUAAAGCAAAUGAUAAAGGUCUCCACAGCCCUUGAGUCGCUCAAGAUUUGCUACGAAAAGUGAUCCUCCCUACUUAUCAAAAAGUUUAUCGGGGGCUCGGCAUUUUUGUCCACAUAUGUGAAGCAUUCGAUUCUCUCCUUUGGAUAAGAGCUUGCUAUUUUGUUUCUUCUUUGUACUACAGAAUCUUUCAACCUAAUAAUUACUUGAUUUUCAGUUUAUCCACCACACCAACUUUUUUAAUAAUGCCAUCAAGAGGCUAGCUUCCAGGCCUCUUAAAUGAUGCAAAAAGAGUAUUGGAGAGG